GGGUUCGAUUCCGGAGAGGGAGCCUGAGAAACGGCUACCACAUCCAAGGAAGGCAGCAGGCGCGCAAAUUACCCAAUCCCGACACGGGGAGGUAGUGACAAUAAAUAACAAUACGGGGCUCUUUCGGGUCUCGUAAUUGGAAUGAGUACAAUUUAAAUCCCUUAACGAGGAACAAUUGGAGGGCAAGUCUGGUGCCAGCAGCCGCGGUAAUUCCAGCUCCAAUAGCGUAUAUUAAAGUUGUUGCAGUUAAAAAGCUCGUAGUUGAAUUUCGGGAUUGACACAUCGGUCGUGCCUUAAGGGGUAUGAACUGGUGUAGUCAAUUUCUCACCUUCUGGAGAACCGCGAUGCCCUUAAUUGGGUGUCACGGGGAACCAGGACCUUUACUUUGAAAAAAUUAGAGUGUUUAAAGCAGGCAUUUUGCUUGAAUACAUUAGCAUGGAAUAAUAAAAUAGGACGGCAUGAUUCUAUUUUGUUGGUUUCUAGGAUCACCGUAAUGAUUAAUAGGGAUAGUUGGGGGCAUUAGUAUUCAAUUGUCAGAGGUGAAAUUCUUGGAUUUAUUGAAGACUAACUACUGCGAAAGCAUUUGCCAAGGAUGUUUUCAUUAAUCAAGAACGAAAGUUAGGGGAUCGAAGACGAUCAGAUACCGCCGUAGUCUUAACCAUAAACUAUGCCGACUAGGAAUCAGACGAUGUUAAUUUUUUAAUGACUCGUUUGGCACCUUA
rnacentral:rRNA from 1 species